UACGUAGGUGGCAAGCGUUGUCCGGAUUUACUGGGCGUAAAGGGCGCGUAGGCGGCUUGACAAGUCCCGGGUGAAAUCCCUCGGCUCAACCGAGGAACUGCCUUGGAAACUGUCUGGCUUGAGGCCGGGAGAGGGUAGUGGAAUUCCCAGUGUAGCGGUGAAAUGCGUAGAUACUGGGAGGAACACCGGUGGCGAAGGCGGCUACCUGGACCGGUUCUGACGCUGAGGCGCGAAAGCGUGGGUAGCAAACAGG
rnacentral:rRNA from 1 species